GUCUAACCAUCCAAGAUUCACCACAUUUUGCCGCGUUGGGCACUCGACUUUCGAUGCGACCCGGGAAUGAAACUGUGAACCCGCUCGGCUAAAUCGAUCAGUCAUCAUAUGAAGUCGAUCUAGGCUUUUUUUUUAAUAAAGAUCUAGGCUUUUUUAUGGUGUUUCCUCUCGAUUCCCCUCGUUCCACUUCCGCCGCCCGCCCAAGUGCCCCCGUGCCCCGUCACAUCAUGAGCCCCGAUCCACGAGUGUCGCCGUUUCCUGUCCUUCUCGCCCUUCGCGUCUCAAAUCGGAGAAAACCUAGGCCAUACGCCGAUCAGUGCUAGCAGGGGCAGGGAGAUGGUGAUGAUUGGUUUUGGUCCUUGGCGCCGUCGAGCACGCGGUGCUAACAGAUUGUGGUGGCGCGGUAUUUUGCCCAUUGUAAGUUCACUUCAUCGAUCAUCGACUAAACCAAUUUAUAUAUUUUAUUUAUAGAUUUGUGUAUGGAUCUUUACUCUUUAAGUACUAAAAUCAAUGAGUAUUUUGAACUUUGACAUUCGACUACUGCUCUAGUUUGUAUCUAGGGUAGUCAAUUUGUAUUGGCGUGGCCCAGCUAUUGUUUUUCGCACGUCCUCUGACUGCCGAACGCAACCUCCAUGGCCAAUCCUGACAUUUGCCGUGGGCCCUGUGCAGAGUUAAAAUAGUGGCCCUUUAUUUGCACAACAUUACCGAUUAUGUGUUCUUACUAUAAAAUAAAUAUAUAUGCAAUGCAUCACAAACCCCAAAUUACUCGUUGAUAGUAGAAUAUUUUUUAGAAAGCAAAACACAAAACCAAAGUUUGAAAGGAUCACUGCAACAUGUUUGAAUAUUGUGCAACAUAGGAUUGUUCUUUCAAAUGAAUAAUAUGUGCACCUUAAACAUAUGAGUUUUCAAUGCUACUCGGAAGAAAUUUGCAUGUUCGAGUUCCUUGCACUACAUUUUAAUCGGCCUCAGUUGAAGUGAUAGAGAACUGCAAAUGUGAACUAGAAUACCAGCAGGGUAAGGAGCGGCUUUUUUUUGGUGGCGGGCAGGCUUGUUUUUACUUCAAGCCAUUUUUUUAGGUAUUCUUCAAGCAAUUGACUUGCAAAACGAUGUGCAACGCCAUUGUUUCUAAUUGCCCUCACUCUAGAGACUUUGUUUACCAACAUCCAAUAUUUGUAAAGAAAAAAGGUUGAACCGUACCUCACUCCAGUGACUCCAUGAUGGAACACAUCCCUUCUCUCCCCUAGAGACGCUAUUUACCGAACAUGGAAUGCUUGUAAAGAACAAGGAACAUGAAAGUAGUAGUAUGUUUGUUUGUUUGUGUUAGGUCCCCACAUGCAAGUAAAAGUGUAUUUGUUUAUUUAUGUCCCUUAGACGGUUGCUAGUCCCACAAGUGAAUCUGAGUUCAUUUGUUUAUUUGUGGGUCUUACAAAGUUAUUAGUCCCGCAUAUGAGUGAUAGUGGAGGAAGAGAAGUGAACUCACCAUUAACUCCAACCUUUAUAAGUAGGAAAGAUAAAGUGCCUAGUCUUUAUUGGAUCCUCCAUCGCAUAUUCACAUCCACCCCUAGAACUUGGCACAAACACAUGCACGAAGUGAUCAGGGACGAGUGGUGAUUUCAAGAGUGCCCACAAAAUCACACACAUUCACUAGAUCGUAAACGAUAUUAAAAUGCAUUUGUCCAUCAAGAUUGCCUCAAGAACAAAGGAUGGUCCGCAUAAGGUGCGCACUGGACAAGUGCUCUGUGAAGGCCAUGACAGCGAAUUGUGGGUAGGCAUAGCUUCCUCGGAGAAAUCAAUGACACCUCACCAACCAUGUGGAAGGAAAUUGGACCCGACACACCAAAAUUGACUCUUUAAUAUAUUCUUAAAUAUGGUGCAUCCUCUUUUGUAACUACCAUGACAAUGAAAAGAUGAAGAUCUGCAAUUGAUGUUAUCCUGCAGAGAAAUGCCGUCUGAGCACACUAUUAUAGAUUAUAUCUUGGAAAUACCACAUAAGAAUAUUGUGAUCCAGCACAUACCACAUACUAGUGUCAUUUCUUGUACUCCAUCCGUACUAAAGUUGUACCAAAGCUGCGACAAUUAAUUUGGAUAGGAGGGAGUAGCAAAUUUUGCAGUUUUAAUUAAGUGGUACACAUACUGUAAAGUUUGUCUGUUAAUCCCAAAAGAAAUACAUAUGUUUUGCUAAGACUCUAAACCAUGGUGAUUUCAUACAAUAAUCUAACUGAACUGAUCUUUAUUCUACCUAUCCCGUUUUGGCCAAAAGACUCCCCAUGGCUAUUUUGUACAACCAUGUGUCCAUGUUUCAACAGGAUGUCACCUCUUCCUUCUGCGCCACCAAGGACCAUCAUAGCAUGGCUUGCUGACCGGUUGCUCAAAGGAUUAAGAACAGGCAGUGUUGGGUCGAAUUCGUACACAUCACCAGGCUUAUAGUUCUGGAAGUUCUGAGAUAUUGGAACAGUUACGACCAAUGCAUUGCCCUUUCUUGGCUGUUGAGACGCAAUCUCAAGAGAACUUUCCCUGUGCUCAGUGUCAUGGCGGUCAUAAAUUCGCCUAUAUCUGGAUAUCUUAUACACCUGAAAGGAUAUGUUGUGGAACUCCACUGUAUUGGUUAAAACAAGAACAGUUCUCCUUAUUUAAUGAGAAAUUCGAAAUUAUAAACUAAAAGGUAUAUAAUGUCAUAUUCGGCAAAUAACCAUGAACAGUAACUUGCUGAAGGCCAAUUCAACAAAUGUGGCAUCUAAACUACGUUUGCCAAAUAAAGUCAAUGAUAGAAAAACCGUGUAACCCUGUUUGCCACUGAAAUAUCCAGAGUACAGUUCAACAAAUAUUGCAAUAUGACUUUAAGAUUAAGAAUAAAAUCCACAGAAAUUCUGCAUAAUACCUUAUUAUUUGACUCAGAUACAGCCCCUUCUGUUUGAAGAAUACCAAAUACAUUCUCCAAUCGUUUCCUUCCUCUACCAUCUAUUUCUUUCCCAAUUCCAAUGUGCCUUUUGUUGUAUUCUUUUAACACUUUGUCUUUUGAUAAAUUAGCAUUGAAAUCUUCUGACAUAAAGAGUGCUGCUGAUAUGUAAUUGAUGUGAAAUUCCAUUGUUGCUAAACUCGAAUGUAUGGUACAGUGAUCUGCAUGACACAACAGUUAGAUGAGUGGGUUUUUAGUUAAUAAAACAUGAAACAGAAAGUUCUGGAGUUUUUUGCACUUACUUUCACCUCCCUGGUCACGCACUGGAGGAGGAAUGGACUUCUGAUGAUAUGGCCGGCCAACCCAGGUAACCUCAUAAGCUGGUACUUUGACCUGAAUUUUUUGCAUUGUUAAACUGAACUUUAGAUCAUCACAAAUAUGGUUUGGCGACAAGAACAACUUUGCUCGCAUGUUUUUUUUUUCGAGAAAACGCAAACGACUUUUGCGUUUCCUUUCAUUGCAUUGAACUUUGCUCACAUGUUACCACAUAAUUAGAUAUAUAUUUGUAUCUUCCAUCUACCCAUGUAUUUUUCUUAGUUUACGUACCUUCCAUGUAUUUUUCUUAGUUUACGUUCCUUCGAGCUUUAAUAAGCCAGUUAAAAUCAUCUUCCUAUGGAAGUGUAACCCGGUUGAACUUUUCAUCAUGUUUAUACUGAUAAUGAAUUUUCUUUUUUGCAGGGAUACUUUUGGUUCCCUUUCAUGUGUAAUCUACGAACUAGCAAUUGGGAGCUAGCAAUUUCAACCUGAUGUUAUUGAAGAAUCUGUGCCGGGUAUUGAAAUCAAAAGUAACUGCAACCAACGCGUACUGAUGCAUUCCUCAAAGAAAAAUGUACUCAUGCAAUGAACCCAGCUAAGUGUAUGUAACACAGUUAGAUGUUUUCUUUCAUACUGGUAAUACUUUUUUUUGCAGAGAUACUGUUGAUACCUUGAAUUUUUUUAUCUACAACUAGCAUUUGGAAUAUAUCACUUUCAUAUUCCUGCUGGUACGGAAGAAUCAAAAUAGCCGAGGUAUUGAAUCAAAAGUAACUUCAAAGACAACUUGUGCAAUAACCAUGUUGUGAACCACAUUGACACCUAGCUCUUUUUAACAAAUAGUUAGAACUUACAUUUGAACUAGUAAGCCCAUGAGUAGAACUCGGAUUAUCCCAAGUGCUAAGAUGUCCAUAUUCGUCGGUGAUAGCAGACUGUCCCGGGUAACGUGGGAAGAUCUCUUGGAAACAACCACGGUCUUUAGCAUCCUCCAUCAGUUUUUUCCAUAUCAUGUUUUCUGCAAGUUCGGUCGCAUCACCAACAAUCCAAAGGUAGUGCCUAGAUAAGAGACAUUUAUUGUUAUAUUUACUGAAAUGAACUGUUGAUGAAAUAUAUUUAACUAAAAUGGAUGUUACAUACCUUGCUCUUGUAAUCAUAUAAUUAAUGUACUUGCCAUUGUUUGGCACUUCAUGGGCUGCAAUGAUUAAGAUGUCAUAAUUCUUGUUUUGGAAUGUAUCAGCUGAUUGAACGGUCAGAUUAAAUUGACUAUGAUGUCCCAGUACUUUAAGCUCUGGCGUAGAACAUAUCACUCCGACUUCCGGCUCCAACUCUCGACCCCCUUUUAUCCAAUCUGCAACAAAGUGGUGAAUGAGCUAGAUCAAAUUUGCCAUAGAGGUCAACAACAUAAAUUAGGGUCAAUUUUAUAUUCCAUAAAAAAUACCUUCAUUAAUGUAAGUGAUCAAAAGUAAUAAGGCAUCAAGAGUUUUCUCAGUGUUCACGUUGAAAAAUAUGUAGCUCUGCAAUCUCAGCUUUAGGAUCGUAUUGGUGUAGGCCAUGGCAUUUGAAAUUUGCCCUCCAUAGAAAUAUCUGUUAGGAAAAGAAGAAAUAGAUGGAUGCAUUCUUUCUUGUGUUCUGAGCAAAUAUCUGCUGGAUCCCAAUAAAAUGAAUCUCGAGAAAAGACUUCUCCCAAAACCAGAUUCUCCAUUCAUCUAGCAAGACAAAAGGGCAUACAGAAGUCACUACAUGUAAUAGCAAUGUGAAAUACAAACAUGGUUCAAGAGUUUGCUUGUAAAAUGACAUGUGAUACCUCGCUCUUAGUUGGUGAGCAUAGUUGUGCAUCAUCUCCUAUCAGUGAUAUGUGUCGAAUUGACGGAAGUGAAAAUGCAGCAACUACCUCACAUUCUUUUAUUUGGGCUGCCCCUAUUACAAUUAGCAUUCUGAUUUUGUCAUUAGACACAUAAUGCAAGCCAUGUGCAUCGGAAGGUGUGGAUAAGAGAAUUUUGGAUUCCUCAAUCAGAUAUCUUCUCAUCCACUCAACAUUCUUCGUAUGGGGGAAAUUAAGAACUCUUUUGACAUAUUCCAACUGCUCAACACAUUUGUCUUUAGAGCGACGGAUUUCCUUCACAUUUGCAGACAUUGGCUGGCGAUGCUUGUUUCUAGAUUUAACUGUGGAAAAUUUAACUCGAGAAGAUGUGAUGGAAGCACAUUCAAAUGCGAUCUUCACAUCAUUUUCAGUGACAGCCUCUAUUGAUAAAAGGUUGUUGAACGUUGCUAGAGCAUCAAAAAGAGCUGCUAGCCCUUUUGCUACUCGUUGAGAAGAAACGUCACUUGGUGAGUGCAACCAUAUUGUGUCCAGCAACUUGAUCAGUACAUCUGAUUUGUACUUGAAUACUUUUUUCAAUAAUGCCAAAGCCGAUAGGUUCUUCUUAUCUGCUUCUGCUGUCACUUUUGUGUACAUCUCUCUGAAUUCCUUCUCUAAGAGGGAGAUCAAGCCGUCAAUUUUACUCUUCCACACCAUGCAUGGCAUAAUCUCCUGGAGCCUCCACUCUAGACAGAAUUGUUUGGCAUUGUCAUUCUUUACUUCUAACAAAUCACAUAAUAAAACUACAUCCCCAAACUUUGGGUCAGCUCCAUCAUAUCUUCCUGAUUUCCUUAUAAGGUCAUCCAGGCAACAGCAUAAUGAUGAGAAAUCUGAGUAAGUGGAAGCACAAACCAGGGUUUUUGUUUGUAAACCUUGCAAAGCUGCCAUGACUGUUGCUAUGGUCUUACUCUUUCCUGUUCCUGGCAGGCCCCAGAUGAUAUUUAUGCUCUCUCGAUGAUCGCAUUCUGCAUUAGAAGCAAUGCUCAGUGCAAGAUUGGCCUGUCCUUCAUUGAGAUAGCGAUCAAACCGGAAAUCAAGUGACUUUGAUUCCUUAUCGGCAUCGCAGCUACCACAAGUGCUUUUUCCCUGUUAUGAAAAAGGCAAGCAGAUGCAUUAGCUAUGUCAUGGAUAAAAACUACAGUGAAUAUACAGAAGAUUAGUCUUUUAAGAACAUACACUGAGGGACAGAGGCAAUGUCGAUAUUUGUUUAAUGAUGGUGUUUUCACCAAUGCCCAAAUGUAAUGUCCUCCACAUGCACAGGCUAUCCUUGAGAUUGCAAAGGAAUAUUGCAAAUUUGCACUUGCCAGAGUUUACAUUAGCACAGACUUUAGCUUCGAAACUUUUGAUGAAGUAUCCAUCAGGUGUGGCAUUAGCUGCUAUAACAAACACUCCACAAUCAUCAUUUAGCUGCAAGUCUUUUGGUUCUUGAUCAGCAUUGCGAGUAAUGUGAUGUGAUGACCACCUUGUUCAAAACAUGUGUUGAUGUCCAGGUAUGCAUAAGAGGUAUUCACAUGCAUUUCUUUUGAAGAAGAAUCACCCACAUGCACUGGUAAGAUGCCAAGAAGCUUGUAAUACUCGGAUGUGCUGAUGGAUUUCAGACUAGACUUUAUUUCUGAUCGUACUUCUUCUAUCAAGGGCUUCUUGAAGCUUGUCAAAUAUUGUUCACUUGAAUGGAAUGUUGUAGGGAUCUUCUCAACCUGCAUGUCAAGUAACAGUAAUAUUGUAAAUCUGCUGGUGUUGUUUCUGUCUGUAAGCUGAAAAAAAGUGCUUCUUUUGGCUACUUUGUUUUUGGGCCCAAUUUAUGAUUUCUUUGAUUGAGUUGUAGCAAUAUUUUGAAUGAAUGAUAAGAAAAAUGCCAUUUUGAAUUA